GACGAACCGCCCGAACGUUGUUCGGAAUCACUGGGCUUAAAGGGCGCGUAGGCGGGCGAGCAAGUCAGGGGUGAAAGCCCCCAGCUUAACUGGGGAAGUGCCUUUGAUACUGCUGGUCUUGAGGGAGAUAGGGGCGUGCGGAACUUCCGGUGGAGCGGUGAAAUGCGUAGAUAUCGGAAGGAACACCGGUGGCGAAAGCGGCGCGCUGGAUCUCUUCUGACGCUGAGGCGCGAAAGCCAGGGGAGCAAACGGG
rnacentral:rRNA from 1 species